UACAGAGGUGGCAAGCGUUGUUCGGAAUUACUGGGCGUAAAGGGCGCGUAGGCGGUUCGUCAAGUCCUGUGUGAAAUCCCCCGGCUCAACUGGGGAACUGCACAGGAAACUAGCGGGCUUGAGUUCGGGAGAGGGAAGCGGAAUUCCGGGUGUAGCGGUGAAAUGCGUAGAUAUCCGGAGGAACACCGGUGGCGAAGGCGGCUUACUGGACGAUUGUUGACGCUGAGGUGCGAAAGCGUGGGGAGCAAACAGG
rnacentral:rRNA from 1 species